rnacentral:tRNA from 1 species
AGCUUUAUAGUCAAUAAUGAUAUUAGACUGCAAUUCUGAAGGAGUAUAAAUUACUAAGGCUU